UGAAUUUAAUGUUGAUAUUUUUUUGCAUAAAAUAUAUUGACGUAAUGGAAAAAACACUGACAAAAUUAAUGGUGGAAAAUAAUCUAAGAACUACAGAACCUUUUUAAAUACAUUAAAUACAUUUUAUCGCUUAGAAAUAAAAAUGCGUCCUUCAUUUGAUUAUGAAUUAGAUGCAGAAUGUCAAGAAAGUGUGCAGAAUCCAAGUCUAGUUUUAUUUCCAAAAAUAGUCAAUGAACACAGUCCUCAAACGCUGAUAUGUCAAUACAAUAGUAAUCUAAGUAUUACAGCAGUAUAUUGGAUUGCAAACGAUAUAACCGAAAGUGCUUUUAGAAUUAACAGAUCAUGCCUGAAACUGUUUUGGAGGAAUGAAAAUCUACACAGCUACACUUGUGACAUAACCAAGAAGAUAUUUAGCCUCACGAUCAUUAAUGUCAGGAGAAGUAACAGGACCAAUAAUUGGAGAUGUGAAAUUGCUUUCAUGACAGGAUAUCGCGGGAUAAGUAGUAGUACUGUUAAACCUGCAAUUAAAGUUCCUAUCUCGCUGGUUCGAAUGAUAACUCCUCAAUCAGGUGAUAUGCUUACCAUCGACGAAGGUGUUUUAAGUUAAUUCAAAUGUGUAACAUCUGGAGGACUACCUGAAUCAACUGUAAAAUUGUACAAGGAUUCUAAAACACCUGCUGAUACCAGUAAUGAUAUAGCGAUAAAUAUAACGUUUAUUUCAACAUAUAGUCACUCAAAUGAUGACCUGAUAAUUACAACAAGUGUCUUGACAAUGGUUAUAUCAAAAUAUGAUGAUCAAACUAGGAUAUAUUGCUCGGCAUACAGUUCUCCUGAUCAGGCACCAAUAUAUUCUGCACGAAAACCGAUGCUGAAUGUUCUACAUCGUCCAGAUGGACCAGCGGUCAUUUAAGGGUUUAAGAAAGGCAUUCCAUAUCGUGUUUUAGAAAACAGACACGGACAACUUACUUGUUUCAUCAAAGGUGGCAAUCCACAACCAAUUCUUACUUGGACCUGUUACAAUAUAGGAAAAACAGAUAUGGUUGACGAUAAAACAGUAUCAAAGACAGCAAGCUGGAUAGCGAGACGCGGUUCAGACACAAAUUGCACGUGCUACUAUUCCCAUCCUAAACUAAGCGGACACAUAUCAAUACAAAUUCAGACUUUAUACCCACCAAAUAAACCAAUAUUUCACGUGAAUUCAACAGAGGUGAAAGGCACAAUACAGAUCGUUAAACACAACUCAGUCUCAAUAAAUUGCCCAAGCUCCGGAAGUCCUAACGACAUAGAAUAUUCAUGGUUAUCAAACAGAAGAACAACGUUUGGUAAUGUUACGACUGUAAACAGAGUAGAGAAUAAUGGCCGAAAUAUAUGUUAUGCAAAAAACGUCUUAGACCAAUCAAAUGGUGAA